rnacentral:rRNA from 1 species
UACGGAGGGUGCGAGCGUUGUCCGGAAUCACUGGGCGUAAAGGGCGCGUAGGCGGCUCAUGAAGGCUGUGGUGAAAGUCCGGGGCUCAACCUCGGAUCGGCCGUGGCGACUCGUGGGCUGGAGCACUGUAGAGGCGGGUGGAAUUCCGGGUGUAGCGGUGGAAUGCGUAGAGAUCCGGAAGAACACCAGUGGCGAAGGCGGCCUGCUGGGCAGUGGCUGACGCUGAAGCGCGACAGCGUGGGGAGCAAACAGG